GCCCGCCUAUUUAGGCGGGUGU
rnacentral:snRNA from 1 species